UGUGAAGCGUGGGAGAGAAGAAGCAAUAGUGAAAUCGUAGCCUGACGAACAGAAACUUGAUACUAAGGCGCAGCAGGCGGAUGAGUUGACCAAAAGCAACGAAGUCCAAAAGGUAACCGUAACCCUGUUGCGUAAAUCAAGCAGGUAGACGAGGAAAGAGU
rnacentral:ncRNA from 1 species